rnacentral:rRNA from 1 species
GAUGAACGCUGGCGGCGUGCCUAAUACAUGCAAGUCGAGCGAACAGACGAGGAGCUUGCUCCUCUGACGUUAGCGGCGGACGGGUGAGUAACACGUGGAUAACCUACCUAUAAGACUGGGAUAACUUCGGGAAACCGGAGCUAAUACCGGAUAAUAUAUUGAACCGCAUGGUUCAAUAGUGAAAGACGGUUUUGCUGUCACUUAUAGAUGGAUCCGCGCCGCAUUAGCUAGUUGGUAAGGUAACGGCUUACCAAGGCAACGAUGCGUAGCCGACCUGAGAGGGUGAUCGGCCACACUGGAACUGAGACACGGUCCAGACUCCUACGGGAGGCAGCAGUAGGGAAUCUUCCGCAAUGGGCGAAAGCUUGACGGAGCAACGCAGCGUGAGUGAUGAAGGUCUUCGGAUCGUAAAACUCUGUUAUUAGGGAAGAACAAAUGUGUAAGUAACUAUACACGUCUUGACGGUACCUAAUCAGAAAGCCACGGCUAACUACGUG